rnacentral:rRNA from 1 species
GGUUAAGCGACUAAGCGUACACGGUGGAUGCCCUGGCAGUCAGAGGCGAUGAAGGACGUGCUAAUCUGCGAUAAGCGUCGGUAAGGUGAUAUGAACCGUUAUAACCGGCGAUUUCCGAAUGGGGAAACCCAGUGUGUUUCGACACACUAUCAUUAACUGAAUCCAUAGGUUAAUGAGGCGAACCGGGGGAACUGAAACAUCUAAGUACCCCGAGGAAAAGAAAUCAACCGAGAUUCCCCCAGUAGCGGCGAGCGAACGGGGAGCAGCCCAGAGCCUGAAUCAGUGUGUGUGUUAGUGGAAGCGUCUGGAAAGGCGCGCGAUACAGGGUGACAGCCCCGUACACAAAAAUGCACAUGCUGUGAGCUCGAUGAGUAGGGCGGGACACGUGGUAUCCUGUCUGAAUAUGGGGGGACCAUCCUCCAAGGCUAAAUACUCCUGACUGACCGAUAGUGAACCAGUACCGUGAGGGAAAGGCGAAAAGAACCCCGGCGAGGGGAGUGAAAAAGAACCUGAAACCGUGUACGUACAAGCAGUGGGAGCACGCUUAGGCG